GACGAACGCUGGCGGCGUGCUUAACACAUGCAAGUCGAACGGAAAGGCCCUGCUUUUGUGGGGUGCUCGAGUGGCGAACGGGUGAGUAACACGUGAGUAACCUGCCCUUGACUUUGGGAUAACUUCAGGAAACUGGGGCUAAUACCGGAUAGGAGCUCCUGCUGCAUGGUGGGGGUUGGAAAGUUUCGGCGGUUGGGGAUGGACUCGCGGCUUAUCAGCUUGUUGGUGGGGUAGUGGCUUACCAAGGCUUUGACGGGUAGCCGGCCUGAGAGGGUGACCGGCCACAUUGGGACUGAGAUACGGCCCAGACUCCUACGGGAGGCAGCAGGGGGGAAUAUUGCACAACGGGCGGAAGCCUGAUGCAGCAACGCCGCGUGCGGGAUGACGGCCUUCGGGUUGUAAACCGCUUUCGCCUGUGACGAAGCGUGAGUGACGGUAAUGGGUAAAGAAGCACCGGCUAACUACGUG
rnacentral:rRNA from 1 species